CCUACGGGGGGCUGCAGUGGGGAAUAUUGGACAAUGGGCGAAAGCCUGAUCCAGCCAUGCCGCGUGUGUGAAGAAGGCCUUCGGGUUGUAAAGCACUUUCAGUGGGGAAGAAAGCCUUGGGGCUAAUACCCUCGAGGAAGGACAUCACCCACAGAAGAAGCACCGGCUAACUCCGUGCCAGCAGCCGCGGUAAUACGGAGGGUGCGAGCGGUAAUCGGAAUUACUGGGCGUAAAGCGCGCGUAGGCGGUCUGAUAAGCCGGUUGUGAAAGCCCCGGGCUCAACCUGGGAACGGCAUCCGGAACUGUCAGGCUAGAGUGCAGGAGAGGAAGGUAGAAGUCCCGGUGUAGCGGUGAAAUGCGUAGAGAUCGGGAGGAAUACCAGUGGCGAAGGCGGCCUUCUGGACUGACACUGACGCUGAGGUGCGAAAGCGUGGGUAGCAAACAGGAUUAGAUACCCGAGUAGUC
rnacentral:rRNA from 1 species